AAGUGGGAAAUCCUAACCAACCACUCCAUCCAACACAUUCAGCACAUUUUUCAAGGCUUGGAGAGCAAGAUAGGAUGCCUAUAAAAGCCAAGAAUGAGCUCCCAUUUCGAGUGUGGAUUUUCGAGAUAAAAGCUUGUUGUUUGUGUACGAGUGUUCUGCUAGGUGCUCAAUUAAACAUUAGGUUUAACACUCAUUGUUUUCGUCAGAUUUCGGAGUAUAGCCCUUGAAUCCAAUUUGUGUUCUUUUGUGAGAGUGUUCCUAGUCCAAUACCUAAGUCAUUGUAAAGGACCCAUGAUCUUAAUUUCAACCAACAUUCCAGAUUAGUAGACUAGCAGUUUUUGGAGGUGGAUUGUAGCAGUUAUAAGAACGUUCUAGAAGUGGGAAGUGGAUGAAACUAACCACGACAUGAAGGACUAUAAAAGAAGCAAGACGCCUCAUUCAUUCUUAGGUUUUGGGAGUGAUUUUUCACCGACCUAACAUUCGCUUACAACCAACUCGUCAUUUUGUCUUGCUGCAAACAUGACAACAGUUCUUCAAACCUUGCUUUGACGGAAGAGUCUUAGGCAGUCAAUCUGUAAAGACUUGCUCUGUAUUGACGGGAGGUCAAAGGUAAGGGUUAAGAUCGAGGACAUUGGAGCGUAGCAGACUGUUUUGUCCGAGUUAUUCGGCUAUGUUGUUUCAACAUUUCUGCUGCAAACGUGAUACCUAUUCUUCAAGGAUGGCUUUGACGAAUGGAGCUUAGGCAGCUAAUCUGUAAAGUCUCACUUUGUAUUGACAGGGAGGUCAAGGGCAAGAAUUGAAGUACAAGACCAUUGGAGCAUAGCAGUAUGUUUUGGUUCUGUGUUGAUUCGACAUUCUAGUGCAGUGAGUAGAUAGGUAGAUUUAUCUUAGGCAGCCAAUCUGUAAAGAUAGAUCUCCAAGAGAUCUCAAAUCUGUACUUUGAAUUAUUGAUGAUCAUAGUGUUUUUAGCCUUGAGGCACUCGCGGAUUAUAUUUAUAUAAUCCAUAAAAGGGUA